rnacentral:rRNA from 1 species
UAGGGAAUAUUCCACAAUGAGCGAAAGCUUGAUGGAGCGACACAGCGUGCACGAUGAAGGCCCUCGGGUUGUAAAGUGCUGUUGCAAGGGAAGAACAGUUAGUUGAGGAAAUGCUUCUAAUCUGACGGUACCUUGUUAGAAAGCGAUGGCUAACUAUGUGCCAGCAGCCGCGGUAAUACAUAGGUCGCAAGCGUUAUCCGGAAUUAUUGGGCGUAAAGCGUUCGUAGGCUGUUUAUUAAGUCUGGAGUCAAAUCCCAGGGCUCAACCCUGGCUCGCUUUGGAUACUGGUAAACUAGAGUUAGAUAGAGGUAAGCGGAAUUCCAUGUGGAGCGGUGAAAUGCGUAGAUAUAUGGAGGAACACCAAAGGCGAAGGCAGCUUACUGGGUCUAUACUGACGCUGAGGGACGAAAGCGUGGGGAGCAAACAGGAUUAGAUACCCUGGUAGUCCACGCUGUAAACGAUGAUCAUUAGUCGGUGGAAAACUACUGACGCAGCUAACGCAUUAAAUGAUCCGCCUGAGUAGUAUGCUCGCAANGAGUG